rnacentral:rRNA from 1 species
AUUGAACGCUGGCGGCAUGCCUAACACAUGCCAGUCGAGCGGAUGAAGGGAGCUUGCUCCUGGAUUCAGCGGCGGACGGGGGAGUAAUGCCUAUGAAUCUGCCUGGUAUUGGGGGAUAACGUCCGGAAACGGGCGCUAAUACCGCAUACGUCCUGAUGUAGAAAUUGGGGGAUCUUCGGACCUCACGCUAUGAUAUUAGCCUAGGUCGGAUUAGCUAGUUGGUGGGGUAAAGGCCUACCAAGGCGACGAUCCGUAACUGGUCUGAGAGGAUGAUCACUCACACUGGAACUGAGACACGGUCCAGACUCCUACGGGAGGCCGCAGUGGGGAAUAUUGGACAAUGGGGGAAAGCAUGAUCCAGCACUGCCGCGUGUGUGAAGAAGGUCUUCGGAUUGUAAAGUAAUUUAAGUUGGGAGGAAGGGAAGUAAGUUAAUACGUUGCUGUAUUGACGGUACCAACAGAAUAAGCACCGGCUAACUUCGUG